rnacentral:rRNA from 1 species
CACUUGGAGGAUGUAUAGCGAAAGCUAGUUGCAUUAAAUUCGAUUAAUUCGAAGUUAUUGCAGCAUCGACUAUGUCGAAUAAAGUUCUAGGUAGAGUUAUGAUAAUGACAUUUUCUAUCUAUGUGUCUUGACCAAAUCACGUGCCAGCAGUCGCGGUAAUACGUGGAAGACUAGUGUUAUUCAUCUUUAAUAGGUUUAAAGGGUACUUAGACGGUAUUUUUAGCCCAAAUAAAAACAAAGGGUACUAAUUAUACUAGAGUUUAAUGAGUGGGGGGUGCGUACGAGUGGUGUAGAGAUGAAAUUCUGUCAUACCAUUAUGACAGGCGACGGCGAAAGCAACCUUUAGUUAAAAACUGACGUUAAAGGACGAAGGCUUUGUAUCACCAACAGGAUUAGAUACCCAAGCAGUCUAAGCAGACAAUUAUGAAUGCCAUAGAUAAGAAAUCCAUAGAUAAAGAAGAAAACAUGUACUUUUCAGAAUGCCCUUUUUGGGCAUUGGUUUAUUAAAAAAAAUAAACUUCUCCUCUUCACUUCUUCAUUUAUUGAAGAAAGAGAGAAGUCGAGAUGAAAAAAAUGGCUCGUAAUCUUAUCUAUCAUCAUCAUCUUUCAGAUGAUGAAGAAUACAUUUCUUUUAGACAUCGACUAUGUCGAAGUUAACAAAAAAAAGAAAUAGGAUGUAUUUUUGUCUAUAAAUGAAAGUGUAAGCAUUCCACCUCAAGAGUAAAGUGGCAACGCACAAACUGAAAUCAUUAGACCGUUUCUGAAACCAGUAGUGAAGUAUGUUGUUUAAUUUGAUGGUCCGCAAAAAACCUUACCACAAUUUGUAUAUUAUUAGCUUAAUACAAGAGUUGCACGGCUGUCUUCAGUUAAUGUCGUGAGAUUUUGUUAGGUUCCAUAAAAAUUAACGUAAACCCUUACUUUAUUUUAUAUUAUAAAGUAGUUUCACCCACUAUUUUGGGAUUAUGGAUUAAAGAGGGGAACUUAACACAAGUC